rnacentral:rRNA from 1 species
UACGGAGGGUGCAAGCGUUAUCCGGAUUUACUGGGCUUAAAGGGUGUGUAGGCGGACUUUUAAGUCAGGGGUGAAAUCCCGAGGCUCAACCUCGGAACUGCCUUUGAUACUAUUGGUCUUGAAUGUUGUUGAGGUGGGCGGAACGGGUCAUGUAGCGGUGAAAUGCAUAGAUAUGACCCGGAACACCGAUUGCGAAGGCAGCCCGCUAAGCAGCUAUUGACGCUGAGGCACGAAAGCGUGGGGAUCAAACAGG